GAAGGGGUGGGCGUCGGGGACGCCGGCACGCUCUCCGGCGGCGAGGACACCGGCUCGGUGACCGGUCCCCCGCU
rnacentral:tRNA from 1 species